CCUACGGGGGGCAGCAGUGAGGAAUAUUGGUCAAUGGACGAGAGUCUGAACCAGCCAAGUAGCGUGAAGGAUGACUGCCCUAUGGGUUGUAAACUUCUUUUAUAUGGGAAUAAAAUGUUCCACGUGUGGGAUUUUGUAUGUACCAUAUGAAUAAGGAUAGGCUAACUCCGUGCCAGCAGCCGCGGUAAUACGGAGGAUCCGAGCGUUAUCCGGAUUUAUUGGGUUUAAAGGGAGCGUAGGUGGAUUGUUAAGUCAGUUGUGAAAGUUUGCGGCUCAACCGUAAAAUUGCAGUUGAAACUGGCAGUCUUGAGUACAGUAGAGGUGGGCGGAAUUCGUGGUGUAGCGGUGAAAUGCUUAGAUAUCACGAAGAACUCCGAUUGCGAAGGCAGUUCACUGGACUGCAACUGACACUGAGGCUCGAAAGUGUGGGUAUCAAACAGGAUUAGAUACCCCUGUAGUC
rnacentral:rRNA from 1 species